UCUAAACUUAGGAACAAAUCAGAUAAGGGAGGAGUUUUUCACACUUUGGACUUCAAGUGCAAAGUGCUUUGGAAUAGUUACAUUUAGGUGUAUGCUGUUACUAAGGGUAGGAUGUUAUUUAGAAGCUGACUUGUGUGCUGAACAAGCAUUUCUUUAAGAACCAAAGCUGCAAGAGGAGAUCUGUUCAAGUAUCGCUGUGUGGCAGGGACACCUGGGUGGCUCUCCAUUAAGCGUCCAACUUCGGCUCAGGUCAUGAUCUCACGGUUUGUGAGUUCGAUCGCAGCAUCAGGCUCUGCACUGGCAGUGUGGAGUCUGCUUGGGAUUCUCUUUCCCUUUCUCUCUUUGCCCCUCCCCAUCUUGUGCGCUCGCGUUUUCUCUCUCUCUCUCUCUCUCUCUCUCUCUCUCUCUGUCUCUCUCUCUCUCUCUCAAAAUAAAUAAACUUGAAAAAAAGCCACUGUGUGGCUAAAUAGUGGGCAAUAAGAUAAGCUUAGAGACCCUAAGGCUGUGCUGUUCUCUCACUGUAUUGAGUUCACUGUUGUUAAGGAAAGUGAUUGCUUAUCAACCUCUUCCUUCAAAUUAGCUGGCUUGUUUCCUGGGCAUGACUUAGUGGAACUAUCAUCUACUUUUGCUUCUCAUCCCUCAUUUCUCUCCUCCCUCCCAUAUGUAUGACUCGUCUCCCCACCAGCAUACAAGGAUUGGACCAAGUGAAGUUCUGUUGUUGCUUCCUAAUUCAUAGAAGGGUAUGUCCAGUAAGGCCUGAGGGUCUAAUAUUAGCAUCUGAACCAGGCACCUCCAUGAGCAGAACUUUUUUUAAAGCUGCUGAGAUUUGUAUAACAGAGACAUCAAUAGGGUGACAACUAUUGAUGAUUUUAUCCACUUGGUGAACAUAAUUAAGUUCCAGGCCACAAUGUAGAAAUUGUUGUGCUAUAUAGUUUUUGUACUUAAGAAGCAGUAUAGCGUAUGGUUAAAAGCAUGGCCUCUGGAACUAGAUUUCCUCUGUAUGCCUCAGUUUCCUCAUUUGUAACAUGGAAAUAAUAAUAGUUCUACCUCACAAGGUGAAGAUUAGAUGAUUUAAUGUAAUUAAAUGAAUUUAAAACACUGACGUGCAAGACAGUAAGUACUCAGUAUGUUCGCUCUCACCAUCAUCAUCGUCACAGAUGUUGUUUACAAGCACUUGUCUUUGAGAUUUGAAUGAGGAGCUACAUAGUAGAACAAUGCAUAGGCUUCACACCCACAAUCAAAAUCUAAUUUUGCCUCUUAAUAGUUUUGAAACUUGGGAGUAAAUCUCUUAACAUAGCUGAGUGUAAAUUGGGACAAAAAGAUUUUUGCUUAGUGCUGACACACACACACUUUUAACACAGUUGUAGAAGUUGUUGUUGUUGUUGUUGUUGUUGUUGUUGUUGUUAUAUAGUUAUACUUUGGUCCCUGUGUAGCUCUAGGGUAAUGGUUAGGCUAAUUCUGAAAUUUCUCUGCCCUGGCCUCUUGCAGACAUACACUCUGAAAUUUUUUAAAGAUGGAAAAGAAAGCAGAGAGCACAAGUUUUUAAAUAUUUAGAGUCCUCCAAAAAGUCUCUGUAGAUAUCUGUAAAAUCUCAAAGCAACUUAAAGGUAACAAGACAGCAUACUUAAUAUUUAAUUAAAAUAUAACAAUGUUAAUAAUAACUCUUUGUGUUUCCAUAUUAUCUCUUUCUGAAGAAUACAAAGUGUCUUAGAAACACUGUUCCACUAUUCCCUCUACAUUUCAAGGUGACUAUUGUCUCCUGUCAAAAAACACAAAGGAAAUUGAUAGACUUAACAAAAAGGAAAUGGAUAGACUUAGCAAAAAGCAAAUGAAGACACUUCAAAUAACAGAAGAGUGGGAAGACUGUAGACCUUAAGUCAUAAGAAAAUUUCCUCUUCUUGUCCUGUUUCUCCCUAAAUGCAUGACAAAUACAGCCUCUUACUUCUAGAGAAGGUCUUAAGCUUCCCUCUCCCUAACCCCUCACCCAGGUUGGGAUAUCCUUUUUUUUAAUUUUUGUUUUUUUAGCAUUUAUUCAUUUUUGAAAGAGAGAGAGCAUGAGCAGGGGAGGGGCAAAGAGAGAGGGAGACACAGGAUCCGAAGCAAGCUCCAGACUCUGAGCUGUCAGCACAGAGCCCGACGCAGGGCUUGAACCCACAAGACCAAGAGAUCAUGACCUGAGCUGAAGUUGGAUGCCCAACCAACUGAGCCACCCAGGAGCCCCUCCUUUUCUUUUUUAAGUUGGGUCAUGUUCAAACGUCCUAUGCUUGAUACAAGAUGAAGGUAGAUGAAGAGAUAAUGAAGGAAACAUUAAAUGGGCUUUCCAAGAACAUAUUUCUUUUUAAACAAUUCCUAAAGAGAUCAAAAGCAGUGUAAUGUACUGUCCUAAUCUAUUCCACGCAGCUAGUGAGGUAUAUAGAAGCGUAUUGCUGACAUUUCAACAUCCAGCAGUAGAGGGCAGCACUGCCCUUCUUUUGCAAAAGGCUGAGUGCUCAUAAGAAGGAAAAUAAAAGACACUCUUGACUACAGUGUCUGUGUGUUUACUUUUACCUAAUACUUUAGAGGAAAAAAAAAUUAGAGUCUUUUUCUUAUUGUUUAGGUGGUUAGGUAGAAAGAAGGUCAGAGCCUGUAUUGCCUUGAAGUAACUGGUGAAAAACAUAGAGUAUGCUCAGGAUAUGGGUUCUGCCUAGGAAAGAUAAACAGUAGCUUGACCCUGUGCAAUCAGAUAGGGUUAUUGUAUGAACAGACCUAAUUCUCCUGCACUUUCUGGAUAGAAAUCAAUCUACUGAACUAGCAGGAUGUGGUUUUAAAAAUGUGUGUAACUCAUAUGGGCUUAGCCCUGAUAACUGCUUUUGAAUCCUAAUUCACUGACUUUAUUCUGCUGUCUGAGUUAGCUUUCCUCUCUGUCACACUUGGAUCAGAUCAGACCUACCUCAGUUAUACCACUUGUAUUAUGACCUUAAAGUAUGAUGUCAGACAUGAUGGUAAGGAAUGUCUUUCAUGAGACUGUAGCUGUCUAAGGGACUAUGUAUAUCUGGCGGGGAAACUGAAAGCUUGUAUGCUGGUCCUCAUUCUAUUGGACUAUGAUUUGAGUUUCUCUAUCCUUCAUGUGGAAUUUGAGAAACAAAACCUGAACAUAUGGGAAGAGGAAGGAAAAAGAGAAGAACGAGAAACAAAUCACAAGAGACUCUUAACCAAAGAGAACAAACUGUGGGUUGACAGAGGGAGGGAAGAUGGGAAUUUGUCUCCACCCAGGCUGGCUCAAGGAGAGGAUCGAAGUGUCCACUGGGUUAGGUGUGGUGAUGGCUGCUGGAGAAUUGGGGUGAGAACAAGACCUGGGCAGCUGGACAGGGGAGACAGAAGGGGGCUGGCAAGCUCCAAGGAAUUAAUGCGAGAGAAAGGACUUGGGAGACCAGGAAACUCUGAUUGCCAUGGCCCUGCAGGGUGGUACCAGUAUUAUUCCAAGACCAUUUUGGAAGUUUCCCCAGCCUAGACUAACCCAUUCUUGAACUAACCUUUCCUGUUUAUUUCCAUACCUGUUUAUCCAAUCCUUGCACCUAUGUUAGGAAGAGGAGUACAGAAAGCAAAAAGAAUGAUAAAGGGCUAUUUAUAAUCAGCUGCCAAUGGAGAUAAAAGUCAUCUUAUUCUCUGUGACUUGGCAUGCCUUAGUUCCCCCCAUUUCUACAUCUUCCACCCUUAUUAUGGAAUCUCAAGUAUCCCUGUUCAGAGGAAUUCUGAGCCUGUAUCCCCUGCACUUGCCUUAUGAACAAAUCACCUAAGACAUGGGGUAGAGCAGGAAAGACAAGCUGGUUUCAUCUUCAGCACCAGCUCUGAUUCACUGGUUGCUUGAAACACUGUAUUAAGAAGUAACAACAGCAACAACAACAACAACAACAACAACAAAGUCAUUCAAUGGGAAAGUUUGUAGAGAUGGAUUAGAGAUGCCUGCGACAGGCACAGAAAGUGAGAACAGGAACACAUGUGCUGUCACUGGCCACCCCUGGUUUAGAGGCCUAAGAUGAGUCAACUCUUAAGUAUGCACCAAAUAUUGAAAGCUGGAAGGUUUCCAGAAAAAUCUCAAAUGCAAGGAUUUUCACCCUUGGGGUCUUGGAUUGGUGGGGUAUUUAUAAAAUCAGUAAUAAUGGCUUAUGUCUUAUUUUUAAUAGUAUGAAGGGCCAACUCCUUGCCUCUGAUGGGGUUGACUAGGUUAACUAAAUGCCAAGUUUCUUUUCUAUUGGAUAGAAUAGUAUCAACUGUAUUCACUGACCCUAGGUGUAUCACACUAGUCACUGUAACUUACAUUUUUGAAAUUACAGAAAUUUUUGGAAUAUCAUUGGCCAACCAGACAGUCCAGCAUGGAACUCAUGAAUAACUGUGGAAUUUAAUAGAGCAAAGACCUAAGAUAAAUGACUGGCUUCAAAGAACAAUCCUAAAAAAAAAAAAAAAAGUCACAGUGAUUAAGAGGUUGGGAAUCACUGUUCUAAUGAAAUCUGAUGUUAAAUUUACUGAGAACUCUAGAGGCUUUCAAUUUGGAUGACUCUAUGAGUUUAUUUCAAAAUGCCUACUUCUAUCUUAGCAUGUGUUACGUGAGAUUUUUUUUUAAUAGCAAAUAGCUUUCAUUAAAUAAGUAAAUAUCUUUUUGUUGGGGAAUUCUAAAGGAUUCAGCACUGUGUACAUGCACUGCACUUAAGCUUUUAGGAAUUUAUUUUACCACUUUGGUACUUUCAGUUUGUUUGAAAGCAGGCUCUCUUGGGUGAAAGGCUCAGCUGGCAUUUAAAAGCUGUCAGUUUCUUUAGGCAACUAGACUUCCUGGCUGAGUAGAGAAUGUUUGUUUAGUUUUGGUCACAUCCUAUUGUGCUACAAGAAGCUACACGACAUCAAUAAGAGAAGUAGUAAUUUUUGGAUUUUCUUAUUCUAUGUAUUAUUUUUUUUCUAGGUUUUUUUAGGAGCCACCAUUUAUUUCUAUAUUCUGAGUUUCCCUUGCUAAUGAAUUCUUGCAUUUUAAGUACCAACCAUUGAACAAGGGGCUGCAAGAUGGGUAACAAUGCCAGAGAGAACCCUCCAUAGAGAGUGACACGCUGGGGGCUGGGGUGGCCUGAACAGGAGUUGAGCAUGGAGGAGAUUACAGGCCCCUGGGUCUCUCCUAAAAGCAGUGGGGAUGUGGUUCUAGUCCCAGGGGGCCUCUCUACUGGUACUUCCUGUUCCACUCUUUCUUUUCCUCAUUCUCUUAAAUUUUCCCCUUCUCUCUCUACAUCCUGUUCUCCUUUCCUUUCCCCUUUGUGUUUCUGUUCUGUCCCUUUUUUCUCAUUUUCCUUCCAUUCUCCUGCUUCCUCGUUUUCUUCAUUGUCUCUUCCCCCAUCCCCUCUUUCUUGUCCCAUCUCCCAUUCUCUGCCCUUUGUGUGAAAACUAUUUUCCACUUACAGCAUCA